AUACAUGGGAGCUUGGAAAUACCAGAUUUAUUUGUCGUGUUGAACAUGAUAUCUCACGAGUGAGAGCAGCGAACGAGUGAGAUAUCAUGUUCAACACGACAAAUAAAUCUGGUAUUUCCAAGCUCCCAUGUAU